rnacentral:rRNA from 1 species
UACGAAGGGUGCAAGCGUUAAUCGGAAUUACUGGGCGUAAAGCGUGCGUAGGCGGUUGCUUAAGUCAGAUGUGAAAGCCCUGGGCUCAACCUGGGAAUGGCAUUUGAAACUGGGCAGCUAGAGUGUGAUAGAGGAUGGCGGAAUUCCCGGUGUAGCGGUGAAAUGCGUAGAGAUCGGGAGGAACAUCCGUGGCGAAGGCGGCCAUCUGGAUCAACACUGACGCUGAGGCGCGAAGGCGUGGGGAGCGAACGGG